UCUACGGGGCGCAGCAGUGGGGAAUAUUGCACAAUGGGGGAAACCCUGAUGCAGCGACGCCGCGUGAGUGAAGAAGUAUUUCGGUACGUAAAGCUCUAUCAGCAGGGAAGAAAUAAAGUCCUUUGGACUUUGGACGGUACCUGACUAAGAAGCCCCGGCUAACUACGUGCCAGCAGCCGCGGUAAUACGUAUGGGGCGAGCGUUAUCCGGAUUCAUUGGGCGUAAAGCGCGCACAGGCGGGCUGCUAAGCGGGACCUCUAAUCUCGG
rnacentral:rRNA from 1 species